UACGUAGGUGGCAAGCGUUGUCCGGAUUUAUUGGGCGUAAAGCGCACGCAGGCGGCUGUGCGCGUGGGGUGUGAAAGCUGGCGGCUUAACUGCCAGACGCCACCUCAUACGGCACGGCUCGAGCCCGUGAGAGGUCCACGGAAUUGCCGGUGUAGUGGUGAAAUGCGUAGAGAUCGGCAGGAACACCCAGGGGGAAACCAGUGGACUGGCACGGUGCUGACGCUCAGGUGCGAAAGCGUGGGGAGCGAACCGG
rnacentral:rRNA from 1 species